rnacentral:lncRNA from 10 species
AUGUCAAGGGGGAGGAGAGGCAUCCAGAACCAGCCUGGGGAAGUGGGUUUUGAAGAGCAGCAGGUAGGUGCCGGUAAAAGGAGAGAAGAGAUACAGUAGGAGAAACAGGUUUGGGGGGUGAAAAAGUGUAAGUUUGAGGUAUCUGUGAGCAGUACGGCGUGGUGGACAAGAGCAAGCAUAAUAAGGUCAUCAUCCCUUCAUCCCUUCACAGCCUGCGUCUUCGGGUUAGGCCUAGGAGGGCAGCCUCCUGCUGAGCCUCUGCACUAGAAUACCAAACUCAGCGUGAGGCUCUUUGGGCUUUCAGCUUACUCUCUCUUGCCUCAAACAGGAUGAUAGGCAGGCACAGCGCCUGGCACACAGCAAGGGCGGGAAAGGCUCCUCCCUCUGCUAACCGCGGCGCCCUUUGUUAGGUCCCGAGACGCAGCGGAGCUGCCUGGCUUCCAGGUCGGCCCUGGUCUCUGCUCCCCUCCGUUGCCUUUGGAAUUUGCCCUCAGACCUGGACCCUACCAGGGAACAGCGGG